AGAGUUUGAUCCUGGCUCAGAAUGAACGCUGGCGGCGUGCUUAACACAUGCAAGUCGAGCGAGGCCAGGGGGGCAACUCCCUGAGUCGAGCGGCGGACGGGUGAGUAACACGUGGGUAACCUACCCGGAAGUGGGGAAUACCUCGGGGAAACUCGAGCUAAUACCGCAUGACAUCUUCGGGACGAAAGUCCUGACGAUCAAAGCGGGGUCGCAAGAUCUUGCGCUACCGGAUGGGCCCGCGCCCGAUUAGCUAGUUGGCGAGGUAACGGCUCACCAAGGCGACGAUCGGUAACCGGCCUGAGAGGGCGAUCGGUCACACCGGAACUGAGACACGGUCCGGACUCCUACGGGAGGCAGCAGUGGGGAAUCUUGCGCAAUGGGCGAAAGCCUGACGCAGCAACGCCGCGUGGAGGAUGAAGGCCCUUGGGUUGUAAACUCCUGUCGGCUGGGAAGAAGUCGUUCGCGGUUAAUACCCGCGGACGUUGACUGUACCAGCAAAGGAAGCCCCGGCUAACUCUGUGCCAGCAGCCGCGGUAAUACAGAGGGGGCCAGCGUUAUUCGGAAUUAUUGGGCGUAAAGGGCGCGUAGGCGGCCACGCGUGUCUUCCGUGAAAUCCCUCGGCUCAACCGAGGACGUGCGGAAGAAACUGCGAGGCUCGAGUCCAGAAGAGGGGGGCGAAAUUCCCAGUGUAGCGGUGAAAUGCGUAGAUAUUGGGAGGAACACCGGUGGCGAAGGCGGCCCCCUGGGCUGGUACUGACGCUGAUGCGCGAAAGCGUGGGUAGCAAACGGGAUUAGAUACCCCGGUAGUCCACGCCGUAAACGAUGGGCACUUGGUGUCGCGGGUAUCGACCCCUGCGGUGCCGAAGCUAACGCAUUAAGUGCCCCGCCU
rnacentral:rRNA from 1 species